rnacentral:piRNA from 1 species
UGAGAAUCUAAAAGUCAUUGCUGUUUGCC